AAACUAGUUGGAGUUAGCUAUAUGAAUCAUUUUUCAUCAUUUAACUCUACUUGAAACCAAUUAUACAUUAAUAUCCAAACAUCAACAAAUACAGGCCAAAUCACUGAAAGUGGAACUGUCUCCCAAUUCUUCCCCCCCAAGAGCCAAUUUGGUAAGCUCAUAACAGGAUAAUAGCCUUUUUAUGAGUGCUAUUGUAAAUAUCACUAAAAAAGGAAUCAAGAAUAUGGAUGAUAUGAACAAGUGUAUUACAGAGUAGAAGUACUUACUGCCUUCACUUUGCUUCCUCCAA
rnacentral:misc_RNA from 1 species